GGGCGCUCACAUUGACAACUGAGUUUUACUGAAAAACAUAAUCCCUCAGACUGAGUUUCAUUACCCAAGAAACCCACAGGGUGGCAAUAACACUGAGUUAAAAGUAAGUUCACAGUGGAAUUCUAAGAAACAGGCUUCCUCAGUGGCUAAUGUUCUUUUUCUCAGUGCCCUGCCUUCUCAAUAUUAGCUGUAUCCAAGACAGAACUGUCUUUUCUCUUGGGGUGGAAAUUGCAUCUCCUAAAAACAUUCUCUGUGUCUGGCAGUCAUUUCUAUCACAAGAGAAAUGGUCUUUUCCUAGCUCUAUCAUCCAUUCCAACACUUAACAUGCCUCUGGUGGCAUGUCCAAGUUUGGAGAAUAAUUUUCACCUUGUAUUCUGGAUUCUGACAAUAUUCUUCCUCCAUCUCCAAGAAGUGGCUUAAUUUUUAACAAUUCAUUCAAAAAUGAGUGUCUUAUACCCAUCCCCCACUAAAAAGUGUUCUGGAAACAUUUGUUGAGUAGGGUUGCAUUUACCCUAAUUUCCUUCAUCUACUUCUGG
rnacentral:lncRNA from 1 species